GUAAAAGUUUGAUUGUUGAGCUCUGUGGAAAUCAGGUGCCCUGGUGCACCUCUUCCAGCAGGGAAACAUGGCAUGGCAACAUGGCACCCACCCCAUGGCCAAACGUCCCCCCAGACACAUCCCCUGGGCAAAGGAACUUCCACAUCUCCCUCAGAACACUUCAGCCAAGUCAGGGUGAUGUGUAAAAGUGCCAGUGGUUCAGCUCUGUGGAAAUCAGGUGCCUGGUGCAUCUGCAGGGAAACACCAGGAAUGGGCAUGGGAACAUGGAUCCCACCUGCCCCAUGGCCAAACAUCUCCCCAGACACAACCCCUGGCAAAAGUGCUUCAACAUCUCCCUCAGAACACUUCAACCCAGUUAGGGUGAGCUCCAUUGUUCAGCUCUGUGGAAAUCAGGUGCCCUGGUGCACCUCCUCAUGCAGGGAAACACCAGGAAUGGGCAUGGCAACAUGGCACCCAUGGCCAAACAUCUCCCCAGACACAACCCCUGGCAAAGGAGCUUCAACAUCUCCCUCAGAACACUUCAACCAAGUCAGGGUAAUGUGUAAAAGUGCCAGUGGUUCAGAGCUGUGGAAAUCAGGUGCCUGGAGCACCUCCUCCUGCAGGGAAACAUCAGGAAUGGGGAUGGGAACAUGGAUCCCACCUGCCCCAUGGCCAAACAUCUCCCCAGACACAACCCCUGGCAAAGGUGCUUCAACAUUUCCCUCAGAACACUCCAAGAGUCAGGGUGAGCUGGUAAAAGCUCCAUUGUUCUGUGGAAAUCAGGAGUGUUCCCAAUAAAGAAUGGAUAAUGAGCCUUAAAACCCUCAGCACCUCGCCACUGAGGUGGAGGAAGGAAUGAAUCAGAGUUGAAAGCCAUGGAACUUCCUCAUGGGUGAAUUCCAUGCAAACUGACAGAGGCUCCUCUGUCACCCAACCCCUCAUCCUGAGCUCAUUCCCCACCUUUCACCGAGCUCUGGUGUCAAUUAAACCAUGAUUUGAUGCUCACUGUUGUGCCUGGAGUUAUUCAUUUAAACCCAGCGUUUCCAGGCUGACAAACAUUCCCUGCUGUGGGGAGAACCAGAAGCUCUGCUCUGCCUCCCUUUCUCUGCCUCCUUUCACCUCAGCAGAGACAAACCCCUCAUGAUCAACGAUAUUCCAUGAUUUUCAGAGAUUUUGGGAUGCAAAUACUCCAGGAUGAGAAUUGCUGAGCUCCCCAGAGCAGUGGGAUGAGGGCAGAUGCAGCUCCCAGACGUUCACUCCAUGGCAGAAGGCGUAAACAAUCCUCUCCCAGCCACCUCGAGUUCACAGCUGAGAGUGUAGGAUGUUUACACUUGCUACAACAUGGGACAGUCCCAUCCAGCAGCCUGCUGGAAUCCCUGAGUUUCUCAUGGAUUCCCCUCCAGUUGAUCAGGAAAAGGAAAAUUCCCAUUAAACUGGGUGGGCAUCAGGCAGGAGUGAGGAGUUUGUUGGCUUAGAAGCUGAUUUUUGGAGAGCAGAACAACUCUGGAAGUGUCCCAGAAUAAGAAUCCCAAAAAUUCAACAGAUCCCAGCUGGUUGUACACAAAGACCAACUUUGAGCCUGGCUCUGAGGGCAAACUCAUCACAAGCAAACACAACAUUUCCUACUCCUGCAGCUCCCUGUUAUUCCCAUUCCUCUGAAGGAAGGAGUAAAAAUAUUCAAUAUAUUCAAAUAUUGAGAGUGUAGGAUGUUUACACUUGCUACAACAUGGGACAUUCCCAUCCAGCAGCCUGCUGGAAUCCCUGAAUUUCUCAUGGAUUCCCUUCCAGUUGAUCAGGC
rnacentral:lncRNA from 1 species